rnacentral:rRNA from 1 species
AAGGAUCAUUACCUAGAGUUGUAGGCUUUGCCCUGCUAUCUCUUACCCAUGUCUUUUGAGUACCUUCGUUUCCUCGGCGGGUUCGCCCCGCCGAUUGGACAAUUUAAACCCAUUUGCAGUUGCAAUCAGCGUCUGAAAAAACAUAAUAGUUACAACUUUCAACAACGGAUCUCUUGGUUCUGGCAUCGAUGAAGAACGCAGCGAAAUGCGAUAAGUAGUGUGAAUUGCAGAAUUCAGUGAAUCAUCGAAUCUUUGAACGCACAUUGCGCCCCUUGGUAUUCCAUGGGGCAUGCCUGUUCGAGCGUCAUUUGUACCUUCAAGCUCUGCUUGGUGUUGGGUGUUUGUCUCGCCUCUGCGUGUAGACUCGCCUCAAAACAAUUGGCAGCCGGCGUAUUGAUUUCGGAGCGCAGUACAUCUCGCGCUUUGCACUCAGAACGACGACGUCCAAAAGUACAUUUUUACACUCUUGACCUCGGAUCAGGUAGGGAUACCCGCUGAACUUAA